rnacentral:rRNA from 1 species
GACGAACCGUGCAAACGUUAUUCGGAAUCACUGGGCAUAAAGGGCGCGUAGGCGGCUUUCUAAGUCAGGGGUGAAAUCCGGCAGCUCAACUGUCGCAGUGCCUUUGAUACUGGAGAGCUCGAGGGAGGUAGGGGUCUGUGGAACUUCCGGUGGAGCGGUGAAACGCGUUGAUAUCGGAAGGAACGCCGGUGGCGAAAGCGACGGACUGGAUCUCUUCUGACGCUGAGGCGCGAAAGCCAGGGGAGCAAACGGG